rnacentral:rRNA from 1 species
UUAGAAAGGGCGCACGGUGGAUGCCUUGACACUAGGAGUCGAUGAAGGACGGGACUAACGCCGAUAUGCUUCGGGGAGCUGUAAGUAAGCUUUGAUCCGAAGAUUUCCGAAUGGGGAAACCCACUAUACGUAAUGGUAUGGUAUCCUUACCUGAAUACAUAGGGUAUGGAAGACAGACCCAGGGAACUGAAACAUCUAAGUACCUGGAGGAAGAGAAAGCAAAUGCGAUUUCCUGAGUAGCGGCGAGCGAAACGGAACAUAGCCCAAACCAAGAGGCUUGCCUCUUGGGGUUGUAGGACAUUCUAUACGGAGUUACAAAGGAACGAGGUAGACGAAGCGACCUGGAAAGGUCCGUCGUAGAGGGUAACAACCCCGUAGUCGAAACUUCGUUCUCUCUUGAAUGUAUCCUGAGUACGGCGGAACACGUGAAAUUCCGUCGGAAUCUGGGAGGACCAUCUCCCAAGGCUAAAUACUCCCUAGUGAUCGAUAGUGAACCAGUACCGUGAGGGAAAGGUGAAAAGCACCCCGGAAGGGGAGUGAAAGAGAUCCUGAAACCGUGUGCCUACAAAUAGUCAGAGCCCGUUAAUGGGUGAUGGCGUGCCUUUUGUAGAAUGAACCGGCGAGUUACGAUCCCGUGCAAGGUUAAGCUGAAGAGGCGGAGCCGCAGCGAAAGCGAGUCUGAAUAGGGCGUUUAGUACGUGGUCGUAGACCCGAAACCAGGUGAUCUACCCAUGUCCAGGGUGAAGUUCAGGUAACACUGAAUGGAGGCCCGAACCCACGCACGUUGAAAAGUGCGGGGAUGAGGUGUGGGUAGCGGAGAAAUUCCAAUCGAACCUGGAGAUAGCUGGUUCUCCCCGAAAUAGCUUUAGGGCUAGCCUUAAGUGUAAGAGUCUUGGAGGUAGAGCACUGAUUGAACUAGGGGUCCUCAUCGGAUUACCGAAUUCAGUCAAACUCCGAAUGCCAAUGACUUAUCCUUAGGAGUCAGACUGCGAGUGAUAAGAUCCGUAGUCAAGAGGGAAACAGCCCAGAUCGCCAGCUAAGGUCCCAAAGUGUGUAUUAAGUGGAAAAGGAUGUGGAGUUGCUUAGACAACUAGGAUGUUGGCUUAGAAGCAGCCACCAUUUAAAGAGUGCGUAAUAGCUCACUAGUCGAGUGACUCUGCGCCGAAAAUGUACCGGGGCUAAAUACACCACCGAAGCUGCGAAUUGAUACCAAUGGUAUCAGUGGUAGGGGAGCGUUCUAAGUGCAGUGAAGUCAGACCGGAAGGACUGGUGGAGCGCUUAGAAGUGAGAAUGCCGGUAUGAGUAGCGAAAGACGGGUGAGAAUCCCGUCCACCGAAUGCCUAAGGUUUCCUGAGGAAGGCUCGUCCGCUCAGGGUUAGUCAGGACCUAAGCCGAGGCCGACAGGCGUAGGCGAUGGACAACAGGUUGAUAUUCCUGUACCACCUCUUUAUCGUUUGAGCAAUGGAGGGACGCAGAAGGAUAGAAGAAGCGUGCGAUUGGUUGUGCACGUCCAAGCAGUUAGGCUGAU